GAUGAACGCUGGCGGCGUGCCUAAUACAUGCAAGUCGAGCGAACAGACGAGGAGCUUGCUCCUCUGACGUUAGCGGCGGACGGGUGAGUAACACGUGGAUAACCUACCUAUAAGACUGGGAUAACUUCGGGAAACCGGAGCUAAUACCGGAUAAUAUAUUGAACCGCAUGGUUCAAUAGUGAAAGACGGUUUUGCUGUCACUUAUAGAUGGAUCCGCGCCGCAUUAGCUAGUUGGUAAGGUAACGGCUUACCAUGGCAACGAUGCGUAGCCGACCUGAGAGGGUGAUCGGCCACACUGGAACUGAGACACGGUCCAGACUCCUACGGGAGGCAGCAGUAGGGAAUCUUCCGCAAUGGGCGAAAGCCUGACGGAGCAACGCCGCGUGAGUGAUGAAGGUCUUCGGAUCGUAAAACUCUGUUAUUAGGGAAGAACAAAUGUGUAAGUAACUAUGCACGUCUUGACGGUACCUAAACAGAAAGCCACGGCUAGCUACGUG
rnacentral:rRNA from 1 species